CAAAACGUAGCUUAAAAAAAGUACCUAAUUUACACUUAGGAGAUUUCAUGGAAAUGAACGUUUUGA
rnacentral:tRNA from 1 species